rnacentral:misc_RNA from 1 species
GCAUGCACUACGUUCUGCAUGUAAAAUGCAUGAAAACAGCGUAUAAACACCGAAAUAUCUCAAACGGGAGAGAAAUAAAUCAUAAUUUUCGUCAAAAUCGACCAAUGAUUGCGAUUUGCGUGUGUCUUGGCUUGUUUCGACGCUGGAUAACGCGUGCACUGCGUUCUGCACGCAUAAUGCAGUGAAAAUAUCGUUUAAACGUCGAAAUAUCUCAAACGGGAGAGAAAUAAAUCAUAAUUUUGGACAAAAUCGACGAAUGAUUGCGAUUUGCGUGUGUCUCGGCUUGUUUCGACGAUGGGAAACGCGUGGACUACGUUCUGCAUGUUAAUUCAGUGAAAAGAGCGUUCAAACGUCGAAAUAUCUCAAACGGGAGAGUAAUAGAGCUUAAUUUGCUUCAAAAUCGACGAAUGAUUGCGAUUUGCGUCCGUCUUGG